GGGCACGUAGCUCAGUUCGGACAGAGCGUCUGGCUUCUAACCAGACGGCCGGGGGUUCGAAUCCCCUCGUGCCCG
rfam:Halobacterium sp. DL1, complete genome.